GCUGGCGUGGCUCAAUUGGUAGAGCACCUGAUUUGUAAUCAGGUGGUUGCAGGUUCAAGUCCUGUCGCCAGCU
rnacentral:tRNA from 1 species